AUUUUACCGAACGUUCGACCACCCAAGCCAGUCGUGUGCUGUCAAUUGACUUAUUUGACUCUGUGCCAAACCGCAACCCCAACGUUCUAAGUGUUUGACUGGGUGGCCGUCGAUUCGUAUGCACGAACACGUGGCAGCGGCCAUCUUGUUUUGUUGAACGUGUCCAGCGGGAUUUGAUCGUCGAGUGUCUGGAACUAUUUUCGGACAUUUAAUCUCCCGAACACCGCUGAGACUUCAAGGAC